rnacentral:rRNA from 1 species
AUUGAACGCUGGCGGCAGGCUUAACACAUGCAAGUCGAGCGGUAACAGAGAGAAGCUCGCUUUUCUGCUGACGAGCGGCGGACGGGUGAGUAAUGCCUAGGAAUCUGCCUAGUAGUGGGGGAUAACUUGCCGAAAGGUAAGCUCAUACCGCAUACGUCCUACGGGAGAAAGGAGGGGACCUUCGGGCCUUUCGCUAUUAGAUGAGCCUAGGUAGGAUUAGUUAGUUGGUGAGGUAAUGGCUCACCAAGACCGCGAUCCGUAACUGGUCUGAGAGGAUGAUCAGUCACACUGGAACUGAGACACGGUCCAGACUCCUACGGGAGGCAGCAGUGGGGAAUAUUGGACAAUGGGGGGAACCCUGAUCCAGCCAUGCCGCGUGUGUGAAGAAGGUCUUAGGAUUGUAAAGCACUUUAAGUUGGGAGGAAGAGCAGUUAACUAAUAUUUGACUGUUUUGACGUUACCGACAGAAUAAGCACCGGCUAACUUCGUGCCAGCAGCCGCCGUAAAAC